rnacentral:rRNA from 1 species
UACGGAGGGGGCUAGCGUUGUUCGGAAUUACUGGGCGUAAAGCGCGCGUAGGCGGACCUGCAAGUCGGGGGUGAAAGCCCGAGGCUCAACCUCGGAACUGCCUUCGAUACUGCGGGUCUCGAGUCCGGGAGAGGUGAGUGGAAUUCCUAGUGUAGAGGUGAAAUUCGUAGAUAUUAGGAAGAACACCAGUGGCGAAGGCGGCACACUGGCCCGGUACUGACGCUGAGGCGCGAAAGCGUGGGGAGCGAACAGG